AGGCUAUGUGAAAUUUUGCUAAUAAACAAUCAAUUCUAGAUCCUUAUUGCUUUUGUUUUCAUAAUACAAGAUAACAUCCUUUAAAGUAAAACAACAAUUAAUAUUCAUGAAAUUUAAUAUAAAAUCUGCCGAAUCAAUGCAACGCCUUUACAGUCUAAGUCUAAAAAUAAGUGAGUCAGUAUCUCUUUCUCAUUAUUACAAAAACAGCAUAUACAGUAUCAUCAGUAUCAGUCAAUCUCGAUAUUAGAGAUUUAGAAGGGUAAAUGGUAUGUAGAAUUCUGAAGUGUAUUUAUUUUAUUUUAUUAAUACAAUAGUUAAAAGGAAUUAACCAAGCGGUUCUCCCGUCAAUAUUCUUUCAAAAAAAGAAUCAGUUCAUAAGAGCGAUUCGCUCGCGAAUCAGACGUCACCACGUGAUGUCACGCGCUCUCUUCUUCGACGGUAUUCAGCAGCGCUAUAAAUACGGGCGCGCUAGUCAGUGCGCUCUCUCACUUUUGCGAUGUUUGAGUGGAAGAACAUCAGGGCGUAUAAGAAUAUGAAACUCAGGCUGCUACAGAAAGGUAAGGUUUUACAAAGUUUUAAAAAAAAGUUUGUUAAAUUACAUAGGUAUUCAAACUAGGUACGUAAUGAAACCGUCUGUUUCGAAAUGGUUGAUAGUAACUCGUGCUCGAGGUUUGGCACGUGGCUGGUUCCCGUGCGCGCAUGACACGUGUUGACACUGUAGUACAGUAUUUAUGUGUGCUGGUGUCUUGUCGCAGGAGGCUGAAUGUGGUCUGGAUCUCCAGCUGCUGCAGCUCUGAUGAUAAGGUAAAUGUUCAAAGAUCUGGAAGGUCGAUCAAGAUUCGGGAUCGUCCUGUUGUGGGAAAGCUGUGUGAAGCUCUACGGAAAUAAAGUUCUCCUGCCUUUAUGUAAAUUUGAGUACUCCACUUUCAGUGCUCGCUGUUAAGUUUAUACAUUUAAGUUUAUUUAUUUUCCUCCCUUCAGUAAAAACUUGGGCUGUUCUUUAAAAAUAAAAAUAUAACCCUCUAAAAAGUGUGCUUGUCUUGGCCUUUCCUGUAACGUGUCUGCUAGGCUUCAGGUUUGAAUAAUGCUGGAGUGAAUACUGAGAUGUCUCCCUCUACUGUAAUUAUUUACAAAUUGGCAAAAGAGAAUUUGAAGAGACUGGCUAUGCAUGUGUUCAUAUUUGAUCUGCAUUAAUCAUGGCUUUGUGUAUUCUGGUUUUCACCCUAACGGAUUAUACAUGCCUGGUGUUUGAUUAGCUGGAGUGUAAUCCCAAUUUUCAAUAAAAAAAAAAAAGGUGCUUUUUUGGAAUAUCUCAAAGGGAGAUUUGAGAUGUAUUAAUAUUUCACAAAUAUACAUCAAAAGCCGUUAUGUGAGUUUAAGAUGUUUUACUCCAAUGGAUCCAGUUUCUACUGUGAGUCAGUGGCACAGGGACAUGCAUAUAUAAAUAUACUUAUGGAAUGUCUGAGCUUUAUAAGGGAAGUUAAGCUUUAGCUGUUGUAUCCCAGCUAACAUUGCAGUUUCAAAAAAAAAACAAGAAAUUGUGUUUCUAGCUUGCAUCCUCUUGGAACAUUUUCGGUGGCCCCUAUGUUGGGCAAUGUUACAAACUUUAUUUUUGUUAGAAAUGGGGCUAAUUAGUGAUUGUAGAUGAACAAUGCCGAGCCAUUUUUAUAGUAUGUUGUAUCAUGUAUGUGUUCUGUGUUUGUUUCUGUUACAAAGAAACAAGAGAGCGUUAUAAAUGUUGCAUUUUUUGAGAAUCGCCUUAAAAUUUGGUUUAUUACUUGAGAAUUUGCACUUAUGUAAAUGUUAUCGCUAGUUAGGAUAUAUACCAAAGUCGUUUGUGAUUACUGAAUGAGCAAUUAUUUAUAGUUUGUAAAAAAAUUAAAUCAUUCGAUUUAAAAGAUUAAACACAAAAACGAACGUGACACAAAAGAAAAAAACAAAAACGUUGAUGUACUGGGUCAAUGAUUCAGCUUAAUGAGCUCCGAGUGGAAUAGCAAUUUUAUUUAAUUACAUUUUGCAAAACGCACGAUUUCUUACACACAGAUAAGACACGAUACAAAGUAUAGAGUAAAAUAGCCUAAAUCAAUAACGACAUCACCAAACACAGUCGGUGGCCCCUGGAGUUUGGCCCCGAGGUCACGUGACGCGCUCCAGUAACGUGACUGUCUGGAGAAACGGGAAGUUCGUGAUUCUCUCAGCUGUUACAACUUCAUUCUUUCCAGAAGACACGCCGCGCGCUCCGUUAGAAAACAUUCAUAUCCAGACGGUAAACGUGAUCCCCUGUCGCUGUCGGUGUCGGUGUGUUAUCAUCCGGUAAGUUCAUAGAUAGCUGUUUACGCUGGUGGUUUAUUCUGCUCCUUACAUUGUUUGAUGCAUAUUCUGACUGUAAACACACAAUUUCAACACAGUUUUCUGCCAGUUUCGCGUUAUCGAAACAUUAAUAAUCUGGGCAUGAUGAAUGCCUUCAGCUUAAUGCUUUUUGUGAGGGUUUAUAGUGUCAGGGAAGCGAAAAUGAAACUUUGAGUUAUGCAUUAUGCAAAUUAAUAGACAGUCAACCGUAUAUUAGAUAAUAUAAUGUGCACGGAGGAAUUUUAAAAAUUUUCCUCAUUAAUACAAUGUGUUUUAUAAUGUAGCGGAAUUCCUGUAGAAAGAGAUUUGUAUUUUCCUGUAUUUCAGCACACAUUCAUUCAGUCAUUUGUUCAGGCUUCUGCUGCUUCCAGAUUUUGGUGGGAACUAUUUUAAAUCUUGUGCAAUUAUGUGUCUAUCUGCUAGUACCAGUAAUUAGCUGUCAAAACCUGUGAUGAUGCAUGUGAUCCAAAUGAGAUCACAUGGUCUAGGUGUCCGCUCUCAAGUCAAACAUGAACCAUCAGGUGUCUGUGAAAUACAAAUAAACAGUGCAUUUAUUUUCUGGUAAGUCCUGAUUUAUUUUUUGACAAGUGUGGCCCAAAUGUAGUAAUCGUAGUAACCUUUUUACAGUCAACUUCAAGAUUAUAGCUGGAAAAUAUAAAGGACAGUUCAUAAUUUACAUGUUGUAACAGGUUAGCUUUUCUUUUGAUUUCCCAAUAACCUCUUUUCAGUCUUGUUAUGCUAUGUUUAAUUAAAUGGUUCUGCGAUGUCAUGGAUUCAUUUAUUAAAAGCUCAGAUAUUCCAUAAAAUCAGAUUAACUACAUGCCUAAUAAUUGUACAUAAAUGGUAUAUUGUUUAAAAUGUAUUGUUAAUAUAUUAAAUACAUGAAAGGCUCAAAGACGAAAAAGGGUUUAAGCAUAAAAACAAUAAUUGUAAUACUGCUUUAAAUUGUUGUUGUUUUCCGCCAAAAAUGUAAAAAAAAAAGUUUUCUGUUUAAUUUAAUUGCAUUUUUGUUUUUGUUUUUCCGAGCAAAAAAUAAAUCUCAUACAUUUUUCCCUGAUUUACAGAAGACACCCACUAAAAUGUCAUUCAGUGAAACAAUCUUGUCAGGCAUAUUUACAACAAAAAUCAAUUUAUGACAUAUUAAAAUACUAAUUACUUUCACCCCAAAUACUAAUUAGUUGUAAUUUUACAUUUUUAAAAUUUGCCACUAUCCUAGGUUUUACCCAUUUCUCAGUAAGAAUUUUUAUUCUCAUUAAAAACACAAAAAACAAAAACACAAUAAAAUGUAUUAUGCUCCCUUAUUUUUUUCAUAUAUAUUUUAAUAUGUACACGUCAGAAUAAGCAUGUUGUUUGACUUGUUACAUUAAUAUUGUUACACUGAAUGGGAAUGGAACAUUAUUUCAACCAAAUUGUACCAUUUUUUUUUCUCCAAAAACUUAUUUGAAACCUUAAAAGUAGACACUUUGCAUUUAAUGUACUCUCUAUGGACAUAAAAUCACUUUUGUACAUUUCUUUUGAUGCCGUCUUUGACCCGAAAAAAAAAAUAGUCAAAAAUAUUGAUGUAGUUUGACAUUGCUCAUGUAACCCCGUGAUUUUACAGUCACAGGUGACAUUAUGAAACCUAAAAAAGCCCUCAGAGCGGAACACGCACUCAUGUUCACACGCUUACUGACUCAAAGCAGAAGAGGAAGUGCUGUGUCUGUUCAGAUAAGAACUGUCCAGAACCCAUUCUCUCUGUCUGAUUGU
rnacentral:lncRNA from 12 species